rnacentral:snoRNA from 1 species
AAGUUACAAUGUAACUGAAAGUAUUUGAUACAUUAUUGUCUCUGUCUAGCUCUAUUCCAUGGUAAGACAGAGAUGCUUGGUCUCAAACAU